rnacentral:rRNA from 1 species
UGUUAAAUCUAUCGGCUCAACCGGUAGCUGCGGCGGAAACUGUAGUUCUUGAGUGAAGUAGAGGCAGGCGGAAUUCCUAGUGUAGCGGUGAAAUGCGUAGAUAUUAGAAGGAACACCAGUGGCGAAGGCGGCCUGCUGGGCUUUAACUGACGCUGAGGCUCGAAAGUGUGGGGAGCAAACAGGAUUAGAUACCCUGGUAGUCCACACUGUAAACGAUGAUUACUAGGUGUGGGGGGACUGACCCCUUCCGUGCCGGAGUAAACACAAUAAGUAAUCCACCUGGGGAGUACGGCCGCAAGGUUGAAACUCAAAGGAAUUGACGGGGGCCCGCACAAGCAGUGGAGUAUGUGGUUUAAUUCGAAGCAACGCGAAGAACCUUACCAGGUCUUGACAUCGUGCGCAUAGUAUAGAGAUAUAUGAAGUCCUUCGGGACGCAUAGACAGGUGGUGCAUGGUUGUCGUCAGCUCGUGUCGUGAGAUGUCGGGUUAAGUCCCUCAACGAGCGCAACCCUUACGAUUAGUUGCUACGCAAGAGCACUCUAAUAGGACUGCCGUUGACAAAACGGAGGAAGGUGGGGAUGACGUCAAAUCAUCAUGCCCCUUAUGACCUGGGCUACACACGUACUACAAUGGUGAUCAACAGAGGGAAGCAAAACGGCGACGUGGAGCAAAUCCCUAAAAGUCAUCUCAGUUCGGAUCGCAGGCUGCAACCCGCCUGCGUGAAGUUGGAAUUGC